rnacentral:tRNA from 1 species
CGGGGCGUAGCGCAGCCUGGUUAGCGCGCAAGCUUUGGGUGCUUGAGGUCCCCGGUUCGAAUCCGGGCGCCCCGA